CCUACGGGAGGCAGCAGUGAGGAAUAUUGGUCAAUGGGCGCGAGCCUGAACCAGCCAAGCCGCGUGAAGGAUGACUGCCCUCCGGGUUGUAAACUUCUUUUAUAAAGGAAUAAAGUGAGGCACGUGUGCCCUUUUGUAUGUAUUUUAUGAAUAAGGAUCGGCGAACUCCGUGCCAGGAGCCGCGGUAAUACGGCGGAUCCGAGCGUUAUCCGGAUUGAUUGGGUUUAAAGGGAGCGUAGAUGGGUAGUUAAGUCAGUUGUGAAAGGCUGCGGAUCAAACGUAGAAGUGCAGUGGAAACUGGCAGUCUUGAGUACAGUAGAGGUGAGCGGAAUGCGUGGUGUAGCGGUGAAAUGCUUAGAUAUCACGAAGAACUCCGAUUGCGAAGGCAGCUCACUGGACUGCAACUGACACUGAGGCUCGAAAGUGUGGGUAUCAAACAGGAUUAGAUACCCCAGUAGUC
rnacentral:rRNA from 1 species